CAAAAGAACUUGCCAAAGAGAUUCGCGU
rnacentral:piRNA from 1 species